UGUUAUUGGUCACAUGGUUAGCAGAUGUUAUUGGUCCAUACACAUGGUUAGCAGAUGUUAUUGGUCCAUACACAUGGUUAGCAGAUGUUAUUGGUCACAUGGUUAGCAGAUGUUAUUGGUCCAUACACAUGGUUAGCAGAUGUUAUUGGUCACAUGGUUAGCAGAUGUUAUUGGUCCAUACACAUGGUCAGCAGAUGUUAUUGGUCCAUACACAUGGUUAGCAGAUGUUAUUGGUCCAUACACAUGGUUAGCAGGUGUUAUUGGUCCAUACACAUGGUUAGCAGAUGUUAUUGGUCCAUACACAUGGUUAGCAGAUGUUAUUGGUCCAUACACAUGGUUAGCAGAUGUUAUUGGUCCAUACACAUGGUCAGCAGAUGUUAUUGGUCACAUGGUUAGCAGAUGUUAUUGGUC
rnacentral:lncRNA from 1 species